GACGAUUGAAUUACUGAAGGGCGAUCCAGCAGUAACAAAGUUAUAUCAGGAGCCACUGGGUAGUCCAUAGCAGCUUAAAGUAAAUUCCGCCUGUCCAUUCACAAUACAAAAAAGCUCCAAACUCAGUCUGUUAUAUAUGCCAUGACGCUGGUUCUAUAAUCAUUCUUCCAAAACUGAAACGAUAAAUGAAAAGCAGCAGAAAAUAUUCAUAAUGGGGAAAAGGAGAGGGCGGGUAAAUUCUAUAGCUUUGGUCAAGCUCCGUGUAAGGUUUGAAUUCAAAUGACCAGACCACACGAG
rnacentral:lncRNA from 1 species